ensembl:lncRNA
ACAGACCCCAGAGUUCUGAGCCAAGCCCUGCCCCGCCCCUCUCCUCGCUCCCAGGCCUAGCUUCCUGUCCUCCAGCUGCUUUUCCUGAUAUUGGUAGAGCUUUUUUGUUGGCUGCGCCUCAUGGAUUUACAGCCUCAGCGUUGACUCCAGAUUCAGCCCUUGCCAUCUUGCUCCCCACCUUGAGAGCAGCAGCACCAAAAAUAGCAGCAUGAGUCACUGAAGCAUCGGGCAUCGUCGUCAAGGGCCAGGACGCCUGCUGCGGUGGAGCUUCUGCUUGAUUUCCAGGGACCUGGGGAAGGGAACCCUGGCCAGCUGGCCCCCAUCACUGCCUCCUGGACCCUGGGGGAGAGCUGAGUUCACUAAGAAAUUUGAAGCCUGAACUGGUGGAAAUGUUAAUGUUCAGAAUGGCUUUACCAUGACACUGCAUAAGGACCUCAGGGUCCCUCAUUUGCACCCCUUCUAAAGUUCUAUACUUUUUUUUUUUUACACUGUAUUUUAUUUUUCUUUUCUGAAAGAGGGCUCUCAAAGUUUUAUGUUUCAGGUCUGAGAAAACAAGCAUGGGUUAAUUUUGUUUAAUUCUUAUUGUGACCUUGGGAAACCAUUGGCUUGUCUUCUCUAUUUACAGACAAAGGAUACGAGAGCAGAGAAAAGCCUUCCUUGGGUUCCUGGAAAAUUCCAGGUUUGUUUCAGCCUCAGGGCCUUUGCAGUUCCUAUUGCCCUGUCUUGAACUCUGUCCCUGGCUUGGGGCUUUUACUAAGCAACAACUGCUGGGCCCUCCUUCCCUGCCUCCCUGGUAACUACUCUUUAUCUUUACUUUUUGUUUUCUUUAUGUAGCAUUCACCACUCCAGAAUUAUCUUCAUUUGUGCAUCUACUUCUUUAACAAAUGCUUAUGGUACAUAUUCUGCCAUCAGGCACUGUUGUCAGCUUUAUAAAUAUGAAAUCAUUCAGUCCUCACUACUCUGACACUGAAACUUGUCCAUCCACACUUUAAAAUGAAAGCAACUGAAGCAUGGAGAGGUUAAGCAGAUUGCCAAAAGUCACACAGCUGGUGAGUUACAGUACCACCUGUCUCCCCCACUGGAAGACAAGGUUCACCUGUGCAGAGCCUGUAGCUGAGGCCUGCCCUGCUCACUCAAGAGCCCCUGUACCCAGAGCAGUGUGCCACACAUACAAUCGUACAAACAGGAUAUGAGACAGCAAAGGCCAGGUCACAGAGAAGGAGGGACGGGAGAGAAGCCUGGAGAGAGGCUGUGGGGGAGAUGAUGGAAGGCCUCGAAGGGCCUCAAGCGCUGAAGGACGAGCCGGGCUGGGGGGCAGCAUUGGGACCGGCAGGAGUGUGGUGGUCUGGGCACCGUGCCAAGAAAGGCAGGAUCUUGUUGACAGAUUUAACUUAGCAGGUAGGCGGGCAAACGCCUUGGAGUUAACCUCCUUCCUUCAUGCCCUGCAUCCAUUACAUGAACAGACCCUGUCAGCACCUCCAAAAUGCAUUCCUAAUCCCACUUUUCUCACCCAAAUUCUGCUCCCACCUGGCCCACAGCUCCAUCACAGCUUUCCUGGAAUCCUGCCACGGCCAACUAGGAGGUCCCCUGGGCUUUCAGCCUCGUCCCUGACACAGCAGUCAGGGGGAUCCUGAUAAACCUGUCAGAUCACAUCACUUUCCUGCUCAAAAUCCGCUGGCAUGUUCCAAAGUGAACACAACGCCAUCUCAUACUGCAGGGUCUCCUGCCCACCCCUAGUUCCUCUAGUCGCCCCUCCUUCCUACCCCCGCCAUUUUGGCUACCCCAAGGCCU